rnacentral:lncRNA from 1 species
GACAAAAGAUAUUCAAGGAUAUGAUAAAGAGCAUGUUUAUUGACCAAAAUGGCAUGUCUUUCUUAGUCUUCCUUCCCCCAAUAGAAUGAGCACAACAUGGUACUAAUACCACCAUAAAAAGGAAAAAAAACUAAAAGAAGACAUGCCAAUGUACAAGUUACAUCAUAAUUUAUACAUUAUUUCUAACAAAUCUCAUAAAACCUUCAAGGUUUGGAGGUGGUUGUGUUGGCGGUGGUGGAAAUGAAGCUUGUUCAUCACCACUUCCGGGUGAAGNNNNNNNNNNNNNNNNNNNNNNNGUUCAUCACCACUUUCGGGUGAAGUUGCUUCCUGAGCAAGUUCUGCUAUCAUUUCUUCAUACGCCUCAUCUAUUUCUGGUUGUGAUUCUGCUAGGUGAAAGUUCAUUCUUUCUACGCGGAUCCAAUCUCGAAAAAGCACUGAUUUUUCCAAGCUGUCCCGCAACGAUGCUCUAUGAUCACCUAUUUGUAGUCUUUCUUGACUAAAAGCGCUCUCCGAUGCAACAGUUGACGCUUGANNN